ACUGUGGUCCAAAACCACUCGGAAGUGACGUCAAAAUGACGUACACGCAAAAGCGCUGCACACUUGUCGACUGAUCGAGAUCUGUGGUCGAAUCGAGUUAGCAGGAAAAGCGUCUGCUUUGUUGUUCACUGUCAUACUGACCGUGUAUCUUGAGUGGUUGUGUGUAUUCGCCAUUGAGCAAAAUGUCUCAGGUGUAUGAAAACAUCUUUCGUGACGCUCUGAAAGAUUUCAGAGUUUUGGAGGAUGGCGUGAUUUCAGGCUAUUGUAAUUCUUUGGAGGAGGUAAAACAAAGCAUUUCUUCAAGCAAAUACAGGGACAUGUCCCUAUCUCCUUUUUUGGUUGUGCAUUUGCAGUGGAGAGUGUGUGUGGUCAAGGCACUGUGUUUUGGGGCCAAAAUACUAUAAAAGUAUAGAAUCUAGUGUACCUGAGCACUUGGGAGACCGUGUGACUCCUCGUAAGAGAUUGAGGAUCAUGGAUACUAGAAAAUCCAACUGCCCAGUGACUUUAAAUAUGAAGUGUAUAAGGGUGUAUCCUGAUUACUGUAUGCACUCAGCAACUGAACACAGGGAUACAAAGGCAAAAGUUCUUGCAAGUCUACAGAAAGAUUUGGCAUUGCCAUGCCCACCUAAGAGCUACCUACGUUUUUAUUUGACUGCUUCCCCGCAAGUGCACACACACAUGCUACUGAAAGUGUUGAAGCAAGUGGGUACAUACAUCCUUCACUUGUAAAGGAAAUCAAAAACUUAGUACUCAGUGGAAUGGCAUCUCUCAGUCAUUAAGUUGGCUCUAGAUAGAUUUGUUGAAAUCAAUUUUACUGGGACACACAUACCAGGUCAAAUGAAUACUACCUUUUACCACACAGAGAAAACAAUUUACAGUCACAUUUAUUGGACCCUUUAUGGUAUAAAUAAAGUAUUGUUUGACGAGACUAGACUGCAGAAUCAGGUUGAUGCGUGGCACAAAGACUCGAGCAAUCACAUGAUUUAUUGUAGACAUUGCACGGGAGCCAAUGGUGAAGUGAAACCUUUACUUUUUUGCUAUCAGAGCAGUUGGCAGAGAGAUCUUUUGAAGAAGUAUGGGGGUAGUUGUUUGUUAGAUGAAACAUACAAAACAACAUCAUAUGAUAUUCCUUUAUUUUUUAUAGCUGUGAAGAGUAAUGUGGGCUAUUUGGUUGUCGGUUUUUUCUUAAUUCAGAUUGAAAAUGCAAGAUCCAUUCAUGAAGCACUAGACAUUUUCAUGGACUGGAACAAGGAUUGGAAUCCCCUCUAUUGGGUUACCGAUUUCUCGGAGUCGGAGAUAAAGGAAACUGAGCAAGCAUUCCCUCAGACAAAAGUUUACUUUUGCCUUUUCCAUCGAAAACAGGCACGGGGAAGAUGGUUGAAAAAAAAGGAUAAUCUACGUGUACCAAAUGACAUGAAGACAUUUCUGGAUACGUGGUAAGAAACUUCAGAACCACCAACAGAGAUAGAAUUUAGAGAUCAUGUAGAAGAGUUGCGAACGCAUGAGGUUUCUCGGAGAAACGAGCGUGCAUGGCCAUACUUUAAACAGCAAUGGCUAACGGUAUGUGAAAGAUGGGUGAAAGCAUAUGAGGACAAGGGCAGAUUUGCAACCAUUGACACUACAAAUGGAGUUGAAGCCAUGAACAAGGUUGUAAAACAUUUUUUCCUUAAACACAAUUCAGGCAGGGCUUUAACUGUCAUUACUAAGGUUAUAAUAAACCAGUUUCUUCCUAGCCUAAUUCGAAAAUACUGUCUGCAGAAUUCUGCCAUCAAAGCUUUAUAACAAAGAUGUUCCACUGUUUUUGCAUAAAAAAAUAAACAAGUUUGUGAAACAUGUCAUGCAGCGAUAUGCAUCAGCAAAAGUUGAGUUAACAGCAAGAUCAGUGAGUAAGAGAUCGGAUGGUUCAUUUUGUGUGGAGAGUGCAAAGUCCAAGAACUGUAAUUAUGUUGUAAACUUUGAUAUACCAGAUUGCACAUGUGAAGAUUUUCGGAUAUAUAAAUACCCAUGCAAGCAUUUCUGUGCAAUCUUUAUUUUUUACCCAGAGUGGGGUUUUGAUAAAAUGCCAGAAAGUUAUAAGACUAGUCCAUUAAUCUGUCUUGAUGAAAUUUAUGGGGUGGGCUUUAGAAGGGGCUCUUUAGUAAUUUCAUAUGAAGGCAGUAGUAGUGAUGAAGCUGUUGAGGAGGCUGUCGAGGCAGCAAAUACAGAUGGUCUUGUUCAAACCCAGAAUAUUCCUUUGCAGCAGUUUGCAGCAAGGGAGCUGUGUAAACAGAUUUAUAAUCUCACAUACAACUGCAGCAACAGUGAAACAUUACAGAAAGUACUUGAAUCACUGAGCAACUGUGUGCAAGAUUUGCAAUUAGCAAAUCCUGAAGUUGGUGGUCUCCCAUUAGCAGUGCCAUCAACUUCCAAACAAUAGCGAAGAACAAUGCCAAAAGCCUUACAAGAUCUGUCUUAAACACAUUAUAACUUUCCAUUUGAAGGGUAAGAAAUGACUGUUUAUUUGAAUUUUAGAUAGCUCUUUGUCUAUGUAAAAUACAAAUAAGCUCCGUCAUUUCUGAUCCUCGAGAUGGAAUGCUAUGAGGUUUGUAUGUUGGUCUCUGAUUUUAAACUUUGUUGCACAUUUGAAUUUCGAAGUAGCAAUAGAUAAAAUAUUAUAAAAAGGAUAGUUGCCACAUUUGUGUUUGUGAAUGAGUGAGUGUGCGCGUGUGCUUUUGAAAAGGCCCUUGUUGUCCGAAAGAUAAGUCCGAUAGUCUUUUUGUUGUGCCUUUCUGUGACUCAGCAUCUUCACUAUUUGGUGAGCAGCAACAACUAUCCUUUUCAUAAUAUUGUUACAUUCCAUCCGGGAUUUUUCAUUGUUCAUCAGAGAAAAGAUUUUUCUGAGGAAUUAAACUAGGUGGUAGUGUAGAACUUGCGAACUUUUUACAAUAUGAAAAAAAGAUUUUAACUUUAAGUUAAUUCAAAUAUGGGACAAUGUUGAGAGUUGAAACGGUGGAAAAAAUAAAUAAGAUAUAUCUUAGUGGCAUUGAGAUGUCGUAUGACUGAUGUAGGAAAGAUUUUGCAUUUCUUUUUCCAAGUAAGAAUGCACUUGCUUCAAUACAUGUCUAGUGAUUCACGUGAUACAGAGAUAUAGAUAGUGCCCUGUUAAUGAACAUGUGAGAUUGCCCAAUAUCACUUUGACAGAAGUGUAUAGUGUUUCCUUGAUAUGGUAUCUGGUCAGCAAUGUCAUUGGGGCCAAAUGAAAGUUACUGCAGAUACCACAGCAGAAGCAAUUACUGUUACUGGAAUACCAGUAAUGUUUAUUAAAUUCAGUUAUAAAGUAGUUCUGGGCAUUGCAGCUGGUGAGCAGUCAUCGAGCACCAAAAGAAGUUCAGCUAUUAUGGAUUUCUGGCCUUCAGUCCAUGGGAAAAUUCACACCAGAGUGCAUGAAGACUGUUAUAUUCCAAGGAUAUCUUGGAAGAUUGAUAGUAUUCCUGAAGGAAAACAAUCCAUAUAGUGUUUCAUAUGUGUAUCAAACUGCCAUUUGUUGUGGCACAUAAAUGUUUGCAACUUGAUUGUAAUUUUUGAACAGUUUCUCAACAAUCCAAGAAUUUCUUAUAAUGAGAAGUAGACAUUGUUGCUUGGUUAAAGGAAAUACAAAUCAGUCAAAACAACUACCCUAUUAACUUCCCACAGAGAAAUAUUUUUCACUACUGCUACUUAAAAAUUCAAAUGUGUGACAAAGUUUGCUUACAGAACUUGUCAUAAAGAUCUCCCUUAUUUGUAUUUUUUAGAUAGCUCUUAUUGUUUGAUCUUUCAAAUGGAAUGCUAUGACUUCCAUGUGAUCUAUUCCUUAGCAGUUAAUUAUCCAUUAAGGCACAAAUAUAUGAACAUUACAAUGAGAGGGGUCUUUAUGCCAGGCCCUGUAAAAGUAAUGGCAUCUUACUUAAUAUUAUUGUUGGGAAUUUGAUGGCACAGCUGUGGGGAGACCACAAAUUUCAGGGUUUGCUAACUGCAAAUCUGGCACACAGUUGCUGAGUGAUUAAAGUACUUUUCAUAAUGUUUCACUGUUGAUACAGUUGUAUGUGAGAUUAUAAAUCUGUUUGAACAACACCUUCACUUCAAAUUGCUGCAGAGAAAUGGUUAAGGUAUCAGUGUGAUGCUCUGUGUUUCCUCAACUGUGUCCUCAUUGCUACUGUCUUCAUGUGAAAUUACUGCAGACACACUUCUGGAACCAAACCUGUACAUCUCGUGAAGACAGAUUAGUGGGCUAUUCCUGCAGCUUUCUGGUAUUUUAUCAAAACCUCACUCUGGAUAGAAAAUAAAGAUUGCACAGAAAUGCUUGCAUGGGUAUUUAUAUAUCUCAAAAUCUUCACAUGUGCAGUUUGGUAGAGCAAAGCUUAAAACAUAAUUACAGUCUUUGAACAUUGUAUUCUCCAUACAAAACAUUGUCCAACUUCACAUUCACUAAUGUUGCAGUUAACUCAACUUUCCCUGGUGCAUAUCGCUGCAUGACAUGUUUCACAAACUUGGGCAGAAUUGUGCAGACAGUAGUUUCUAGAUAAGCUUGGAAGAAAUUGAUUUCUUAUAUCCGUAGUAGCCCCAUUCAAGGUCCCAUCUGUAUUGCAUUUUAGGAAGAAAAAAAAAGAGUUUACAAUCUUGUUCAUGGCUUCAACUCCACUUUUAAUAUCAAUGGUAUCAAAAUUGCCCUUGUCCUCAUAAGCUUCCACUCUCUUUUCAUGUACCAAUAGCCACUGCUGUUAAACAUGCAUAAGUGUUUCUCUGUUGGUGAUUCUGAAAUUUCUUGCCACAUGCUCAGAAAUCUCUUCAUGUCAUUUGGUAUAUAUUCAGCCAUCUUCCUCAAACCUGUUUCAGACUGAAAAGGCACAAGUAAACUUUUGUCUGAGGAAAUUCUUGAUCAGUUGUGUUUAUCUCAGACUAUAAGAAAUCAGUAACCCAAUAGAUGGGAUUCCAAUCCUUGAAAAUGGCUAGUGCUUCAUGAAUGGAUCUCGCAUUUUCAACUUGAAUGAAAAAGAAAACCAAAUAACCCACAUUACUCUUUACAGCUAUAAAAAAAUAAAGGCAUAUCAUGUGUUGUUGUUUUGUAUGUUGCAUAUAACAACUAUUCCUGUACUACUUCAAAAGAUCUCUUUGCUAACAGCUCUGAUAGAAAAAAAGUGAUGGUUUCACUCCUCCAUUGGCACCUAUACCAUGUUUGUAAUAAAUCAUAUGAUCGCUUUAGAAAUGAGUGUCCUGAUUGAUAUAAAAAACAGUUUUCAAAUUUUCUGUACAAACUGUAAACAGUUCCUCAGUUAGUGAUUGUGGAAGAGAUUGCCAUAGCCACAGUAUUGAUCCACUGUUAGGUGGUAAACCUACAAUUUCCUUCCAGUAUGAGCCAAGUGAAGUAAAACUGUGGUUGGAGAAAUGUUUUAUAUUCUUAAACUGAGUAUUUGUAACCCAUUAUGUUGGAUUGCAGUUCAUGUGUCAACACUUUAAAAUGUUUAGUUCUUCAAUGAUGACACUUGAUACAAUUUCAAUUUUUUAAGGCUAUUCUGUGUCAAGUUAAACUUUGAAUUAUCCAUUUAAACUCAUUUUUUGCUGUGUGGCAGAUGGAUUUAUGUUCAUGUAAUAUUUUUAACGUUGAUUGUAGUAAGAUGUAAUCAUAUAUAAAUGCCCAAUAAAAUAGAUUGAUAUUUA